rnacentral:rRNA from 1 species
CCCAAGGUUUCCUGAGCAAGGGUAAUCCUCUCAGGGUUAGUCGGUCCCUAAGGUAAGGCCGAAAGGCGUAGCUGAUGGGAAACAGGUUAAUAUUCCUGUACCACCAGAUGGACGUUUGAACGAAGGGGGGACGGAGAAGGGUAGGUCAUCCGGGUGACGGAAUACCCGGUUCAAGCGAGUAGGAGGAGUCUAUAGGUAAAUCCGUAGGCUCAUACUCCGAGACGUGAUGAGGAUCUCGCGUAUGCGGGAAUAAACUGGCUGAUCCCAUGCUUCCAAGAAAAGCCUCGUAGUGAGUUUGUCUGGUGACCGUACUGCAAACCGACACAGGUGGGCGAGGAGAGAAUCCUAAGGCGCUUGAGAUAACUCUGGUUAAGGAACUUAGCAAAAUCACACCGUAACUUCGGGAGAAGGUGUGCUCAGGUUGGUGUAAGAACUUGCUUCUGAAGCUGACUUGAGUCGCAGUGAAGAGGGGGUGGCGACUGUUUACUAAAAACACAGGACUCUGCAAACUCGUAAGAGAAAGUAUAGGGUCUGACGCCUGCCCGGUGCUGGAAGGUUAAGGGGAGAUGUCAUUCUGAGUUCAUCGGGAGAAGCAUUGAACCGAAGCCCCAGUAAACGGCGGCCGUAACUAUUGAAUGGACCACAGUAGUUACGUAAAAAAAUCUGGCUAUAUGCUGGAAAAUCCUGUUAAGCUGAUGGUACUUCUGCCAUUAAUGGGUAGAACGUGACAAUCCAUCAGAUAGGGACAAUCAGCAGGAAAGGUCUGAAGGAGGAUAAAUGAGACCUGAAAUAGGUUUCUAUCUGGCUGGUUUUGCCGAUGGUGAAGGAAGCUUUAAUGUUUCUUUUAGACCACGGCAGGAUUAUAACCAGCCAUGGAAGAUAUCAAUGUGUUUCAAUGUCUCCCAGAAGGAAAAAGAGAUACUUGCCCUUUUUAAACAUCACCUUGGAUGUGGAACAUUAAGGGCAAGACCAGAUGGUAUCUGGUAUUUCGAGGUUAAUAAUUUUAAUGCCAUCUGGGAAAAGGUAAUCCCUUUUUUCAAGAAGUACAAAUUCCUCUCUGCAGAAAAGAAGAAAAAUUUUUCAAAAUUUUGUCAGAUUGCAGAGAUAAUCAACAAAAAAGAACAUCUCACAGAGGAAGGUAUUAAAAGGAUAUUGAAGAUACGUAGUGAGAUGAAUCAGGGAGGAAAAAGGAAAUACAGCGAUGAUGAAAUCCUCAAGAAACUUCAGAAAUCCUCAGAGACUAUACGCCAGAUCUCGAGCAAUCGGGAAUGAUAUAGUCCGGUCUUUCGGGAAACCGAAAGUUAACAGAAACGAACGGUCCUAAGGUAGCGAAAUUCCUUGUCGGGUAAGUUCCGACCUGCAUGAAUGGCGUAACGAGUUGGGCGCUGUCUCAACGGAGGAUCCGGUGAAAUUCCAGACUGGGUGAAGAUGCCCAGGACCCGCAGUUAGACGGAAAGACCCCAUGGAGUUUUACUGUAACUUGAUAUUGUAAUUUGUUGUUAUGUGUACAGGAUAGGUGGGAGGCUGAGAGUCAAGGUCGUCAGAUUUUGAGGAGCCGACGGUGGGAUACCACCCUCAUGAUAAUGGAUUACUAACUAUUGUGUAUGAAGAGUACAGAUAGGACAGUGUUAGGUGGGCAGUUUGACUGGGGCGGUCGCAUCCUAAAGAGUAUCGGAUGCGUGCGAAGGUAGGCUCAGGUUGGUUGGAAAUCAACCGUUGAGUGCAAGGGCAAAAGCCUGCCUGACUGCGAGACUGACAGGUCGAGCAGAAGCGAAAGCUGGUCCUAGUGACCCGGCCGAUCCGAGUGGAAGGGCGGUCGAUCAACGGAUAAAAGUUACCCUGGGGAUAACAGGCUAAUCACGCCCGAGAGUUCACAUCGACGGCGUGGAUUGGCACCUCGAUGUCGGCUCAUCGCAUCCUGGGGCUGAAGCAGGUCCCAAGGGUUGUGCUGUUCGCACAUUAAAGCGGUACGUGAGCUGGGUUCAGAACGUCGUAAGACAGUUCGGUCCCUA